rnacentral:tRNA from 1 species
UGUAGCAUGGCUUAGUGGUCUAAGGCGCUGGCUUAAGGUUCCAGUCUCUUCAGGGGUGUGGGUUGGAAUCCCACUGCUGUCA